rnacentral:rRNA from 1 species
AGCGAACGCUGGCGGCAGGCUUAACACAUGCAAGUCGAACGGGCGUAGCAAUACGUCAGUGGCAGACGGGUGAGUAACGCGUGGGAACGUACCUUUUGGUUCGGAACAACCCAGGGAAACUUGGGCUAAUACCGGAUAAGCCCUUACGGGGAAAGAUUUAUCGCCGAAAGAUCGGCCCGCGUCUGAUUAGCUAGUUGGUGUGGUAACGGCGCACCAAGGCGACGAUCAGUAGCUGGUCUGAGAGGAUGAUCAGCCACAUUGGGACUGAGACACGGCCCAAACUCCUACGGGAGGCAGCAGUGGGGAAUAUUGGACAAUGGGCGCAAGCCUGAUCCAGCCAUGCCGCGUGGAUGAUGAAGGCCUUAGGGUUGUAAAGUCCUUUUAACGGGAAGAUAAUGACGGUACCCGUAGAAUAAGCCCCGGCUAACUUCGUGCCAGCCGCCGCAGUAG